rnacentral:rRNA from 1 species
UUAAGCGACUAAGCGUACACGGUGGAUGCCCUGGCAGUCAGAGGCGAUGAAGGACGUGCUAAUCUGCGAUAAGCGUCGGUAAGGUGAUAUGAACCGUUAUAACCGGCGAUUUCCGAAUGGGGAAACCCAGUGUGAUUCGUCACACUAUCAUUAACUGAAUCCAUAGGUUAAUGAGGCGAACCGGGGGAACUGAAACAUCUAAGUACCCCGAGGAAAAGAAAUCAACCGAGAUUCCCCCAGUAGCGGCGAGCGAACGGGGAGCAGCCCAGAGCCUGAAUCAGUGUGUGUGUUAGUGGAAGCGUCUGGAAAGGCGCGCGAUACAGGGUGACAGCCCCGUACACAAAAAUGCACAUACUGUGAGCUCGAUGAGUAGGGCGGGACACGUGGUAUCCUGUCUGAAUAUGGGGGGACCAUCCUCCAAGGCUAAAUACUCCUGACUGACCGAUAGUGAACCAGUACCGUGAGGGAAAGGCGAAAAGAACCCCGGCGAGGGGAGUGAAAAAGAACCUGAAACCGUGUACGUACAAGCAGUGGGAGCACGCUUCGGCGUGUGACUGCGUACCUUUUGUAUAAUGGGUCAGCGACUUAUAUUCUGUAGCAAGGUUAACCGAAUAGGGGAGCCGAAGGGAAACCGAGUCUUAACUGGGCGUUAAGUUGCAGGGUAUAGACCCGAAACCCGGUGAUCUAGCCAUGGGCAGGUUGAAGGUUGGGUAACACUAACUGGAGGACCGAACCGACUAAUGUUGAAAAAUUAGCGGAUGACUUGUGGCUGGGGGUGAAAGGCCAAUCAAACCGGGAGAUAGCUGGUUCUCCCCGAAAGCUAUUUAGGUAGCGCCUCGUGAAUUCAUCUCCGGGGGUAGAGCACUGUUUCGGCAAGGGGGUCAUCCCGACUUACCAACCCGAUGCAAACUGCGAAUACCGGAGAAUGUUAUCACGGGAGACACACGGCGGGUGCUAACGUCCGUCGUGAAGAGGGAAACAACCCAGACCGCCAGCUAAGGUCCCAAAGUCAUGGUUAAGUGGGAAACGAUGUGGGAAGGCCCAGACAGCCAGGAUGUUGGCUUAGAAGCAGCCAUCAUUUAAAGAAAGCGUAAUAGCUCACUGGUCGAGUCGGCCUGCGCGGAAGAUGUAACGGGGCUAAACCAUGCACCGAAGCUGCGGCAGCGACACUAUGUGUUGUUGGGUAGGGGAGCGUUCUGUAAGCCUGUGAAGGUGGCCUGUGAGGGUUGCUGGAGGUAUCAGAAGUGCGAAUGCUGACAUAAGUAACGAUAAAGCGGGUGAAAAGCCCGCUCGCCGGAAGACCAAGGGUUCCUGUCCAACGUUAAUCGGGGCAGGGUGAGUCGACCCCUAAGGCGAGGCCGAAAGGCGUAGUCGAUGGGAAACAGGUUAAUAUUCCUGUACUUGGUGUUACUGCGAAGGGGGGACGGAGAAGGCUAUGUUGGCCGGGCGACGGUUGUCCCGGUUUAAGCGUGUAGGCUGGUUUUCCAGGCAAAUCCGGAAAAUCAAGGCUGAGGCGUGAUGACGAGGCACUACGGUGCUGAAGCAACAAAUGCCCUGCUUCCAGGAAAAGCCUCUAAGCAUCAGGUAACAUCAAAUCGUACCCCAAACCGACACAGGUGGUCAGGUAGAGAAUACCAAGGCGCUUGAGAGAACUCGGGUGAAGGAACUAGGCAAAAUGGUGCCGUAACUUCGGGAGAAGGCACGCUGAUACGUAGGUGAAGUCCCUCGCGGAUGGAGCUGAAAUCAGUCGAAGAUACCAGCUGGCUGCAACUGUUUAUUAAAAACACAGCACUGUGCAAACACGAAAGUGGACGUAUACGGUGUGACGCCUGCCCGGUGCCGGAAGGUUAAUUGAUGGGGUUAGCGGUAACGCGAAGCUCUUGAUCGAAGCCCCGGUAAACGGCGGCCGUAACUAUAACGGUCCUAAGGUAGCGAAAUUCCUUGUCGGGUAAGUUCCGACCUGCACGAAUGGCGUAAUGAUGGCCAGGCUGUCUCCACCCGAGACUCAGUGAAAUUGAACUCGCUGUGAAGAUGCAGUGUACCCGCGGCAAGACGGAAAGACCCCGUGAACCUUUACUAUAGCUUGACACUGAACAUUGAGCCUUGAUGUGUAGGAUAGGUGGGAGGCUUUGAAGUGUGGACGCCAGUCUGCAUGGAGCCGACCUUGAAAUACCACCCUUUAAUGUUUGAUGUUCUAACGUUGGCCCCUAAUCGGGGUUGCGGACAGUGUCUGGUGGGUAGUUUGACUGGGGCGGUCUCCUCCUAAAGAGUAACGGAGGAGCACGAAGGUUGGCUAAUCCUGGUCGGACAUCAGGAGGUUAGUGCAAUGGCAUAAGCCAGCUUGACUGCGAGCGUGACGGCGCGAGCAGGUGCGAAAGCAGGUCAUAGUGAUCCGGUGGUUCUGAAUGGAAGGGCCAUCGCUCAACGGAUAAAAGGUACUCCGGGGAUAACAGGCUGAUACCGCCCAAGAGUUCAUAUCGACGGCGGUGUUUGGCACCUCGAUGUCGGCUCAUCACAUCCUGGGGCUGAAGUAGGUCCCAAGGGUAUGGCUGUUCGCCAUUUAAAGUGGUACGCGAGCUGGGUUUAGAACGUCGUGAGACAGUUCGGUCCCUAUCUGCCGUGGGCGCUGGAGAACUGAGGGGGGCUGCUCCUAGUACGAGAGGACCGGAGUGGACGCAUCACUGGUGUUCGGGUUGUCAUGCCAAUGGCACUGCCCGGUAGCUAAAUGCGGAAGAGAUAAGUGCUGAAAGCAUCUAAGCACGAAACUUGCCCCGAGAUGAGUUCUCCCUGACUCCCUGAGAGUCCUGAAGGAACGUUGAAGACGACGACGUUGAUAGGCCGGGUGUGUAAGCGCAGCGAUGCGUUGAGCUAACCGGUACUAAUGAACCGUGAGGCUUAACCUU